UGAGGAAUAUUGGUCAAUGGGGGCAACCCUGAACCAGCCAAGUCGCGUGAAGGAUGAAGGUCUUAUGGAUUGUAAACUUCUUUUACACGGGAAUAAAGUGGGGGACGUGUCCCCCUUUGCAUGUACCGUGUGAAUAAGGAUCGGCUAACUCCGUGCCAGCAGCCGCGGUAAUACGGAGGAUCCGAGCGUUAUCCGGAUUUAUUGGGUUUAAAGGGUGCGCAGGCGGGAUGUUAAGUCGGCGGUGAAAUUUUGCAGCUCAACUGUAAAAGUGCCUUCGAUACUGGCCGUCUUGAGUGUGGAUGAAGUAGGCGGAAUUUGUGGUGUAGCGGUGAAAUGCUUAGAUAUCACGAGGAACUCCGAUUGCGCAGGCAGCUUACUAAGCCACAACUGACGCUCAUGCACGAAGGCGUGGGGAUCAAACA
rnacentral:rRNA from 1 species